rnacentral:rRNA from 1 species
GGGUGCAAGCCUGAUGCAGCGACGCCGCGUGAGGGAUGACGGCCUUCGGGUUGUAAACCUCUUUCGCCAGGGACGAAGCGCAAGUGACGGUACCUGGAGAAGAAGCACCGGCCAACUACGUGCCAGCAGCCGCGGUAAUACGUAGGGUGCGAGCGUUGUCCGGAAUUACUGGGCGUAAAGAGCUCGUAGGUGGUUUGUCGCGUUGUUCGUGAAAACUCACAGCUUAACUGUGGGCGUGCGGGCGAUACGGGCAGACUGGAGUACUGCAGGGGAGACUGGAAUUCCUGGUGUAGCGGUGGAAUGCGCAGAUAUCAGGAGGAACACCGGUGGCGAAGGCGGGUCUCUGGGCAGUAACUGACGCUGAGGAGCGAAAGCGUGGGGAGCGAACAGGAUUAGAUACCCUGGUAGUCCACGCCGUAAACGGUGGGUACUAGGUGUGGGUUUCCUUCCUUGGGAUCCGUGCCGUAGCUAACGCAUUAAGUACCCCGCCUGGGGAGU